CAUUUAAGCAGUAGUAAAUCGCGAAAUACCCUAGUUAUAAAGGGAGAUGGGUUAAGAGAGAACUUAGGGUUUAUUUUUCGUGACGUAAACCUUCCUCUUCUCUUGUCGCGUGCGACGGCGUUGCUCAAGGGGAACCAAGGAGGGAAGCUAGGGCUUCAUCUCCGGCGGCCGGCCAAGGGUCAAAUCCGAAGGCUUUCCACUUCUUUACGAUCACCCCGACGAGGAGAGCACGUAAAUGUGAAGAAGUUGCCGAGAUUUCGAGUUUCUCCGAAGCCCUAGAAGUCGAUUUCGGUUGUAAGUUCAAGAUCAAGAAUAAAGGAAAAGGAAAGCUAUAGUGAAGGAGGGCGACAAGGAGGUGUGGAUGGAUGUGUGAUGUCUGGACUAUGGAAGCCUUGGGAUUUUCUUAAAGAAUUUAUUAAGAUUUUGUACUUAGACAUUUUGUGAAAUGUAGGUGGAUUGAGUCCUUUUUGCAUUGUUGGAAUUAUUCUUUUAUGUUGAUGGUUUAUUCAUAGAAUGUUUUUAUA